rnacentral:rRNA from 1 species
UACGAAGGGGGCUAGCGUUGCUCGGAAUCACUGGGCGUAAAGCGCACGUAGGCGGCUUUUUAAGUCAGGGGUGAAAUCCUGGGAGCUCAACUCCAGAACUGCCUUUGAUACUGAAGAUCUUGAGUUCGGGAGAGGUGAGUGGAACUGCGAGUGUAGAGGUGAAAUUCGUAGAUAUUCGCAAGAACACCAGUGGCGAAGGCGGCUCACUGGCCCGAAACUGACGCUGAGGAGCGAAAGUGUGGGGAGCGAACAGG